CUAGACAUACAAUCAGCCGUUUUCUAAAAAGGGACAAAAAAUCCUUUCUUCUCCAACCUAAAUCAAAAAGGAAAAUAGCAGUCAUUCCCAUUAAGAGAACAAUCGGCCAUUACCCAAAAUUCCCAAAAGAGAGAACACCUUAGUCAGCCGUAGAACACACACAGGGGAGACCCCUGAACUCUACUCCAUAUUUACAAAAUCAAAGAAAACCAAAAAGAAACCUAGAAGAAGCUUCAGCAAAAGACCUAUAACCUCUAACCUUCAAAAAUCAUCUGCUCUUGAAUUUCAGCCGUCUUCUUGUAUUGUAUUGUGGCUGAGGAUGUUUACAUUCAUCUAUUGUUGUUAACCGUUCGUGGGGGUUCGCGGUUCCGGUGCCGGGUCCGGUGCUUUUGUUGGGUUGCGAUUUUCCUCUUCAUUUUGUACAUUGCUCGAGCUUGAUGAAUCAGUUCUUUUUUGGAAGAAAAAUCCGCGAAGAAAUUCAAUCUGUAUUGGACAAUCGACAGGGUUCUAAUUUCAGAAUUAUAGCGUCAAUUAAGGUACACGAUUUGGCCUUUGAUAAUUGUAAGUUGAAAUAUGAAAGUAUGGAAGCAUGAAAUCUGAAUUACUUCAACCUUUGUAACUGUGUGUUCAACAUUCAGCUUUGAUGUAGAUUAAAUUUCUGUUUGUAUUGUACUAAUAUGGACUGUACCGGACUGUUUAGACUAUUGGGCUUGUGAUUGCUCAUCUAAAGAUUAGCUUUGAACUAGCACAGUUUGGUUAAUUGUGUUGGUCUGACUUUUAAAAAUCAGAAAAACAUAUUGUAGACUUGAGAUCAA